UUGAUUUUUAUUAGAUGAUGACUUUGAUAUAAAAAGAUAAGAAGAAUAUCUCACAAAGAUAGAACUUUUAACUUUCAAAGUUGUUUAGAAUGAUCAAGUUGGUCCCACAGCGAUUGACUUUACUCUGUUUUAGCACAGAUGCUUGUUGAAAAAGAUGAUCAUGAAAAUCAUUCUAUGCUAUUCCCACGUCUGGAAAUUGAUAAAGAAGUAUCCAAACUCUAAAAUUCCCAUACGGUGCAUGUUUAUUUAAU